GGGUCUUUAUUGUCUAAAACAACUGAACAAACUUGUUUAUUGAUAUAUCAUUGGUUGUUAUAACAGUUUUCAAACUUUUUGUGUUGCUUUAUUAAGAAUAAAACUAAUUUUAUCUGGAAAGUACAAGUAAUCAAAGCUCCUGUGAGGACUUUUUUUGAUGGUUAUAAAACUGACAAAAUUUCAUAUUGAUGCUUUUUCAUGACAUCCCAAAGCAAACAAGACCCUCAGGGGUCUGAUUUUUUUUUUUGUGGGUAAUUUUUAAUACCUAAAACCAGUGUGAGGAGGUAGGUGUCAGAAUAACAGCUGCGAUUGCUACAAUUUCCACAAAAAACUACAUGAUAAGUUUUAAAUGUGACUGUCAACAAUGAGCAAGAUGAGGGUUUUUGUAAAACCUUCUCAAGCAUGUUGAGAAGUUGCCGCCACCAAAGUUCACACAAUUUUAAAGUUCCUCACAGGAGCUGUAACCUUCCUCCUGUGUUAGCUUGUACUACGCACUAGAGGAUGACAUUUUCGGGAACUCCCAUGGGUCACGUGAUUCCCGCGGGAAUCCCACGGGAUGGGAGUCAUUUUUUAAUUAAUCCCGUGAUCAGGACAGGACGGGAAAAAAGCAACGGGAGCAGGCAGGAGCGGGAACAACAUUAAUAGAUGAUCAUUUUCUUUCCUUGUUAGGCUUCAUUAUCCAUUUAAAUAUCGCUUAUAAUAUUUUUUUGUUGUGGGCCUCUUGCCCUUUAUUUGUCAGUAUACCCCUCACACAGACAUCUAUACUGAACUGAUUUCACAUGUCUGGACAUGCCUGAGGUUGUUUUUUGUGCAGGGUAAAACAUGGCAAAAUGAGAAUUUCCUAAAUCUCACAUGUUUGGAAGAGGAUCUGACUGACAGUGUGGUGCCUGACAUUACACUUAUGAUUUCAGUUUUUGCUCUGAUUAUUAGAUACUGAUCUAACCGGGUCAACAGCGACCCUAACACGACAAGUGCCAUAAUUUUAAUGAGUAUUUUAUAAUUUAGUCAAUUUAAUUUUUUUCAUUUUUGUUUAGUUGAAAUAGAGGUUCCUGACAAAGUCAAAAGUCUUGAUUUAAAAAAAAAACUUAUUUAAGUGGUUCUUUUAAGCAUUUAAAACCAACGGGUCGGUGCAGACCCUAACACAGGAGGAGAGAUAAAAUAUUUAUUUAUCUAUUUAUUAUUUUCUGGACCUAACAGAUCUGAAGUGAUAAAGCAUUUACUGAGGUCAGUCAGUCUGUUAUUAUGUCUCAUUAUCAGGAUACACACACUCAUGAUGUACCGCAAUAGUCCCAUCAACACAUGAUAGGCAGUAAUUUCCUCAUCCAUCAAGAACGGUAUUUUUCUAAUAAAGCAAUAAUAAUCCGUUUGUUUUCACCCUAACUGAAGCCUCUACUAUCUGUUUGUCACACAAACCCACACAGUGUAUGUGUGAGAGAGGUCACCCUUGUGUAGGAGUGGGGGUAACCGCCUUAGCAGGAGAUAAGGGUGUCACUCAGCCUGAUAAGAUGACGGAUCAAUACGGCGGAUACAUGACUGUCACAGCUUAGCAAGGUCAUUGAGUCCUUCAGCCAAGACGCACACUUUCUAAGCGCUGCAGGAUCCAACUGCUUUUCUCUGAUUGGCACUGCGGGAGGGACCGGACUUGAUGCUGUGCUUAUCUGCUGUUUUGACAAAGAAUAGGUGGGAGUGACAAUAAAUAAUCCGGCAAAAACAGGAAAUUAUUACAGAGCUAACAGAGAUAAAUACACGAUUAUCCUGAAAAAGACACAAAGGCAUAAAGACACAGUUUAUCUCACACCAAGACGCUUCUCUGCAGGGUCCACAGUGUGAAAGCUGAUUUAGGACAAUCCAGGAUGACACAUUAUUUUUCAUUCUGCAGAAACAGGAUGCAGUCCAGAGUACAACGCACCCAGAGACAGCUAAAUGUGAGCAAUAAACUGCAGGAACAGCAGAUUU